UACGAAGGGGGCUAGCGUUGCUCGGAAUUACUGGGCGUAAAGCGCGCGUAGGCGGCUUUGUAAGUUAGAGGUGAAAGCCCGGAGCUCAACUCCGGAACUGCCUUUAAGACUGCAUCGCUAGAACGAUGGAGAGGUGAGUGGAAUUCCGAGUGUAGAGGUGAAAUUCGUAGAUAUUCGGAAGAACACCAGUGGCGAAGGCGACUCACUGGACAUCUGUUGACGCUGAGGUGCGAAAGCGUGGGGAGCAAACAGG
rnacentral:rRNA from 1 species